rnacentral:rRNA from 1 species
GUUUGAUCCUGGCUCAGAUUGAACGCUGGCGGCAUGCCUUACACAUGCAAGUCGAACGGCAGCGGACCUUCGGGUGCCGGCGAGUGGCGAACGGGUGAGUAAUAUAUCGGAACGUACCUUUCAGUGGGGGAUAACGUAGCGAAAGUUACGCUAAUACCGCAUAUUCUGUGAGCAGGAAAGCAGGGGAUCGCAAGACCUUGCGCUGAUUGAGCGGCCGAUAUCAGAUUAGCUAGUUGGUGAGGUAAAGGCUCACCAAGGCGACGAUCUGUAGCGGGUCUGAGAGGAUGAUCCGCCACACUGGAACUGAGACACGGUCCAGACUCCUACGGGAGGCAGCAGUGAGGAAUAUUGGACAAUGGGCGAAAGCCUGAUCCAGCCAUGCCGCGUGAGUGACGAAGGCCUUAGGGUUGUAAAGCUCUUUCAGGUGCGAAGAUAAUGACAGUAACACCAGAAGAAGCCCCGGCUAAAUUCGUG